GAUCAGCAGGUGCAGCUCCCAGGUGUUCCUUGUUGAGCUCAUCAGGAGAGCUUCUUAGGGAGCAGGAGCCUGAAGGGAGACGUCAGCUCUGACUCCGCUGGUGACCAAGCCCCCUGUUUCUCCAUGUCACAAUCAAGCAGGCCCUUUGGAACUUCUCUCAGCUGGCCCUGUCAUGAGUCUUCCUUCCUCUCUUGUCUCCAGCCAGCGCCUCCAAUGCUGCAGCCCCACUGCUCCGAGGAUCACAGGGAGCCUCCGUGGGAAAGACUUAACUCCUACUGAAAGUCUCUGUCGUCCACCCUCAUGUCCGUCCAGACCUCUGCUGGAAAGCUCGCCAAAGAAUUGUUUUCUCUAAUAUGAAAAGUUUUCACCAAACCCUAUAGAUUGCUAUUAUGUUUUUGUAAUUGUUGCCCUCAUACUGAAUCUCUUAUUUGGCGAUAUGACAAUAAUACAUUCCUUCAAAAGGUUUUGGGACAUUUUAGCCAGGAUGGGAUGUAUUUUUAAGGAUAAAGAAUUCUGUUUUGUAACCCAACUUCUCAAUCCAGACGUAUGGCCCCUUUGACCAGCUCAAGUUUCUGUGUAGAUCUUUUCAUGUACAUCAUUUCCUCAGUUUUGAAAAUCAUUCUGUUUUUGUCACUUUGAUUACUGUUUUUCUCCAAUUAUCUUAUUGAUAACUGUCUUAACUGUGCCAUGUUGUAUAAUACUGUGGAAUAUUUUAAUCUUUGUCUGACUGAUACCUUUGAGAUAUUUUGAUCCUUUUUAACCUCUCUGCAAUGUAUGGCUUUAGCUAAAUGUCAGGAAAAUCCUCCCAGGACAGCUGAGCUUUUUCAGGUUUAUCAGAUUUACUAGACUAGAUGGGAGGCGUGAACUCAAGAAGACUGACUGCUGAAAUUAAGUAAUAAAGUGUUUAGAAAGAGUAUUAGUUUGAGGGUGUACAGACCUAUGACACCAGGUUAUUGCACCUUUUUUAUGUUUUUUAUAUUUCCCCACUGAGUUGAAUGGUUGAAAUACAAAGGAUAUGCAAACUGAAAAGUUUAAAUUUAGUUUCAACUGAACACAAUACAGACUUCCACAUGUUUGCUGUGUCUCCUUCGUGACUUGUAGCAAACUGCUAAUUAGAUUUUGUUUGGCUUUCUUUCAGCAAUGGUUUAUUUCUUACACCUUAUGCCAAAUUUCUGGAGUGCACAAUCAAUAGGUGUCCUGUCAACAUAUUCUCCCGCCUGAGCUCUGGCUAUCUGCAGCUCCUCCAGAGUUAGUCUGA